rnacentral:rRNA from 1 species
AUGACAAGGUCGGAGGGGCAGCAUUGGUUUGGUUGUCUUGACCAACCGAUGAUGGCCGGACCGGCGCGCCGGGUGAGUAACGCGUAUCCAACCUACCCAAUACUAAGGAAUAACCCGUUGAAAGACGGCCUAAUACCUUAUGUUUUCCUUUUGAUGGCAUCAGACGAGGAAUAAAGAUUUUAUCGGUAUUGGAUGGGGAUGCGUCCGAUUAGCUUGUUGGUGAGGUAAAGGCUCACCAAGGCAACGAUCGGUAGGGGUUCUGAGAGGAAGGUCCCCCACAUUGGAACUGAGACACGGUCCAAACUCCUACGGGAGGCAGCAGUGAGGAAUAUUGGUCAAUGGACGAGAGUCUGAACCAGCCAAGUAGCGUGCAGGAUGACGGCCCUAUGGGUUGUAAACUGCUUUUAUGCGGGGAUAAAAAGAGUUACGUGUAACUUGUUGCAGGUACCGCAUGAAUAAGGACCGGCUAAUUCCGUGCC